GCCCUCAUAGUUCAAUGGAUAGAACUGGAGACUUCUAAUCUCCCAAUGUAGGUUCGAUUCCUACUGAGGGCA
rnacentral:tRNA from 1 species